GUGCCAGCCGCGCGGUAAUACGGAGGGUGCAAGCGUUGUCCGGAAUCACUGGGCGUAAAGGGUGCGCAGGCGGGGCAGCAAGUCGGAGGUGAAAGCCCGUGGCUCAACCACGGAAGUGCCUUCGAAACUGUUGCUCUUGAGUCCCGGAGAGGUUGCCGGAAUUCGUGGUGUAGCGGUGAAAUGCGUAGAUAUCACGAGGAACACCAGAGGCGAAAGCGGGCAACUGGACGGGUACUGACGCUGAGGUGCGAAAGUGUGGGGAGCAAACAGGAUUAGAAACCCUAGUAGUCC
rnacentral:rRNA from 1 species